ensembl:lncRNA
GCCCAACCCCUGCCCCCUUACUGAACUUUCUCAUCAUGGGAAUGAGACAAGGUGACUAAGACCUCAUAUCACUUGAGAGCUGCUUGGCCGAGCUCAGCCCUGGAUUCUGAUAUCUCUUCACUGGUAAGGCCAGUGGGAAAGGGGACGGGCUCACCCCAAGGCUUAGGGCCUGUUGAUAUUAAAGGGGGUUAGCAAAGUCAGGCCUGACUCAGACCAGAUCCCCAGUUUGGGAGAGUCUCUUUGGGCCCAGUGGAGGGCAGUGUGGGGACAGCAGGCACACAAGUCAUGGGAAGUACUCACAUUUGGGUAAGAGCCACAUGGUGGCUCCAGGUAAAGUGUCAAGGGAAAUGGAUUCAUCCAGGGGGCUAAAAUGAGAGGGUGUGGGUCCAAUUCCAGGAAGAGAGCUGGGAAGGCCUUGAAGACUCAACUAAAUGGCUGGAGUACAGGGCUGCUUUCUCACCGAAACUGCCUCGGGUCGCAGCAGUGGACUGGGUGUGAGUUUCCAGCAUCCAGCAGCCAGAAUCAGGAGGAAGCCCAAAGCCAAGGAACAAAGUAAAGCUUAGCCGUGGAGGCGAAGUGAUGCGUCACCAAGCACAGAUCACCAGACGGAACAGCAGCCGAGUAAGUACACUAGCCUGAAGUCGGAAUGGCUCAGGGUAAACCCACUUCCGUCCGUUGUCAAAGUGCCUGCAAGUACUGGAUUCUAGUUGUUUGGGCUCCGUCUCUGUUUAUUUUUUUUUAAUUGUUGUAAAAUACACAAAAUUUACCUUCUAAAUCAUUUUUGUGUACUGUUCAGUGGUAUUAAAUACACUCACAUUGUUGUGUGACCACCACCACCAUCCAUCCCCAUAACUUUUUAUCUUGUGACACUGAAAUUCUACACCUAUUCAACAAUAACUCCCCAUUCACCUCUCCCUCCUGCCCCUGGCAACCACCAUUAUACUCUGUCUUUAUGAUUUUGACUGCUCUAAAGUUCCUCAUAUAAGUGGAGUCAUACGGCAUUUGUCUUUUUGUGACUGGCUUAUUUCACCGUGUGUAAUGUCCUACGGACCAUCUAUGUUGCAGCAUAUUGCAGAAUUUCCUUCCUCUUUAAGGCUGAAUAAUAUUCCAUUGUGUGUAUAUAGCACACCUUGCUUAUCCACUCAUCUGUCAACGGACACAGGUUGCUUUCAUGGUUUAGAUAUUGUCAAUAAUGCUGCUAUGAAUGUGGCAUACAAAUACCUCUUUAAGACCCUGCUUUCAGUUCUUUAUAUACCCAGAAGUGGAAUUGCAGCAUCAUAUGAUAAUUCUAUUUUUAAUUUUUUGAGGAACUGCCGCACUGCUUUCCACAGCAGCUGUACCAUUUUACUUUCCCACCAACAGUGCACAGGGUUCUAAUUUCUCCACACCCUCACCAACACUUGUUUUCUGAUAGUAGCCAUUUGAAUGAGUGUGAGGUGAGAUCUCAUUAUAGUUUUGAUUGGCAUUUCCCCAAAUGAUUAGUGAUGUUGAACAUCUUUCCAUGUGCCUAUUGGCCAUUUGUUUAUCCUUUUUGGGGAAAAGUCUGUUCAAGUCCUUGCCCAUUUUUUAAUCAUGUUAUCUUUUUAGUGUUGAGUUUUAGGAUUUCUCUCUAUAUUCUAGAUAUUAACCCCUCAUCAGAUAUAUGAUUUGCAAAUAUGUUUUCCCACUCUGUGGGUUGCCUUUGUUCUCUGUGAUUAGUGUCUUUUGAUGCACAAAUUUUUUUAAUUUUCAUGAAGCCCAAUUUGUCUAUUUUCUUUUGUUUUUACCUGUGCAUUUGGUGUCAUAUCCAAAAAAUUAUUGCAAAUCCAAUGUCAUGAAGCUUUUGUGCUAUGUUUUCUUGAGUUUUAUUGUUUUAGGUGUUACAUUUAGGACUGUCAGCCACUUUGAGUUAAUUUUUGUAUAUGACAUUAGGUAACGGUCCAACUUUGUUCACUUGCAUGUGGAUAUCCAGCUUCCUCGGCACCACUUGUGGAAAACUGGGCUCCAUCUCUCUUUACAGCACUUCAAAGCUAACUUCAUAUCUAUUACUUGCUUUGGUCUUUCUAACAACCGUACAAGGCAAGUACGGCGGGUAUUCAGAUUUCUUUAUUCUCGAAAGCAUUUCUUCAUUGCUGAGGGAC